CCUACUACCUCCUUGUGGACGAACGACACGAGGCUGCACAAACGAGGGCUUCACAACUUCGAACCACCAGAACAGCUCGGCCAUGAACACCAAAUAAUUACUCUGCGUAAGAGAGUUAAGAAAAAGAAAAAUCAGUUCCAGAAGGCUAUUGUGUAUGUAGAAAGUGAAGCAAAGAGAAGCAUCAAGGGUUUUAUCUCAAUUCCUGGGACCUUAAGGAUUCCUUCUUCCCAUAUUCCACAGUCCUGCUGAAUGCUAAAAGUGACUGGAACUUCCUUCAUGCUCCCAGCAUACCAUAAUAGCAUCUGUCUAAGAUUCAUGUAGUGACUUAUCCUCUAUUUUACUAACUUUAGGACAACAGGUCAGUUUUGUACCACAACUUUUCAGUUUAGCUUUGUAUUAUAAAAGAAACCCAUAGUGAACAGUGUAUUAAAACCUAAAAUAAGCAGAAAAAUAAAACUUUUUUCAAAAGCUUAUUUGACUGAUAUUAUAGUUAAUUUGUAAACUUAUAGUGACUAUGCCAUUUAUAGAUCUAGUUACAUAUAUAUUUUUUCAAAAUCUGAAAGCAAAACAAAACAAAAACACCAAGAAUUAUUUAAUUUACCUUGAUGGAUGAAGCAGCAUACAGCAUAUCUUCCAGGGUGAAAUGGCAACACUGGUUCAAAUAUUCUUGGCAAAAUUCUUGAAUCAGCUGCAGAUUAUACAGGCUAUCAGCCAAAGACAUGGUUUCUUUCAAACAAAUAUCUUUAAAUAGGAAAAGAGUGAGGUGAUGACUGUGGGUUAAUUUGAUAACAUACAUUUCAUAUCAUUUUAUAAUUAGUGGCUUAGUACAAACACAUAUUUAUGUGGAAUCUGUUUUACACACACUUACAAAUAAAGGGGCCUCUACACAAAGACUUAGCACUGUUUUAUUCAACUACCUUCCUCAGGAUUAUAUGUAAACUUUUUUUUUUUUUAAGCCUUCAUUACUUAUUAAAUACUGUUUUCUCAAUAUUUGUCACCAUCUAUCUACAGCCCACAAAUAUUUCACUGGGACACUUACCCUCUAU